rnacentral:rRNA from 1 species
GUGCCAGCAGCCGCGGUAAUACGUAGGGUGCAAGCGUUAAUCGGAAUUACUGGGCGUAAAGCGUGCGCAGGCGGUUAUGUAAGACAGAUGUGAAAUCCCCGGGCUCAACCUGGGAACUGCAUUUGUGACUGCAUAGCUGGAGUGCGGCAGAGGGGGAUGGAAUUCCGCGUGUAGCAGUGAAAUGCGUAGAUAUGCGGAGGAACACCGAUGGCGAAGGCAAUCCCCUGGGCCUGCACUGACGCUCAUGCACGAAAGCGUGGGGAGCAAACAGGAUUAGAUACCCCAGUAGUCC